rnacentral:rRNA from 1 species
UCCUACGGGAGGCAGCAGUGGGGAAUAUUGCACAAUGGGCGAAAGCCUGAUGCAGCAACGCCGCGUGAAGGGAGACGGUUUUCGGAUUGUAAACUUCUGUUCUUAGUGAAGAAAAAUGACGGUAGCUAAGGAGCAAGCCACGGCUAACUACGUGCCAGCAGCCGCGGUAAUACGUAGGUGGCGAGCGUUAUCCGGAAUGAUUGGGCGUAAAGGGUGCGUAGGCGGCCUGCUAAGUCUGGAGUGGAAGGUACCGGCUCAACCGGUACAGGCUCUGGAAACUGGCGGGCUAGAGAGCAGGAGAGGGG